GGAUUGUGGCUCAGCGGUAGAGCUCUUCCCUAGCAUGGGCGGGACCUGGGAUUCGAUUCUCAGCACCA
rnacentral:tRNA from 1 species